CAUUAGAUGACUGAAAGCAAGUGUAAGUCUUUUAAACUUAAAAUAGUAGUUCCGUCUACUUCUAAUGA
rnacentral:tRNA from 1 species